GGGAAAAUAUAAGAAAUAUAAUUAUUAAGUAGUUAAAAUAUUUUACGACCUUCUUUUUUUCCUGUACACAACUUUUCAACGAGCAAUUUUGCUCCAACUUAUAAUGAUAAAAAUGUUUCUAAAAGGAAAUUUCACCAGGAAGGUUUAAAUUACCAUUAGAGAGAUCAUUUUUUCAAUCAAAUGUGAAAAACCGGGAUAAAACCUGAAAA